rnacentral:rRNA from 1 species
AUAAGUAAUGUGAAUUGCAGAAUUCAGUGAAUCAUCGAAUCUUUGAACGCACCUUGCGCUCCUUGGUAUUCCGAGGAGCAUGCCUGUUUGAGUGUCAUUAAAUUCUCAACCUUUAUCAACUUUUUAAGUAGAUAAAUGGCUUGGAUGUGGGGGUUGCCGGUUUCUCUUUUGAAAUCAGCUCUCCUGAAAUAUAUUAGCUGGUUGCCUUGUGUAAACCUGUCUAUUGGUGUGAUAAUUAUCUACGCCGUGGACUAUUUACCGUUUUUAAGCACUGCUUCUAACCGUCUGUUCAUUCGGACAAUCUAUGACAAUUUGACCUCAAAUCAGGUAGGACUACCCGCUGAACUUAAGCAUAUCAAUAAGCGGAGGAAAAGAAACUAACAAGGAUUCCCCUAGUAACUGCGAGUGAAGCGGGAAAAGCUCAAAUUUAAAAUCUGACGGUCUUUGGCCGUCCGAGUUGUAAUCUAGAGAAGUGUUAUCCGCGCUGGACCGUGUACAAGUUUCCUGGAAUGGAGCAUCAUAGAGGGUGAGAAUCCCGUCUUUGACACGGACUGCCAGGGCUUUGUGAUGCGCUCUCAAAGAGUCGAGUUGUUUGGGAAUGCAGCUCAAAAUGGGUGGUAAAUUCCAUCUAAAGCUAAAUAUUGGCGAGAGACCGAUAGCGAACAAGUACCGUGAGGGAAAGAUGAAAAGAACUUUGGAAAGAGAGUUAAACAGUACGUGAAAUUGCUGAAAGGGAAACGCUUGAAGUCAGUCGCAUUGUCUGAGAAUCAACCUUGCUUUUGCUGGGCUUACUUCUUAGAUGAUGGGUCAGCAUCAAUUUUGACCGUUGGAUAAAGUCUGAAGGAAUGUGGCAUCUUCGGAUGUGUUAUAGCCUUUGGUCGCAUACAACGAUUGGGAUUGAGGAACUCAGCACGCCGAAAGGCCGGGUACUUGUACCACGUUCGUGCUUAGGAUGCUGGCAUAAUGGCUUUAAUCGACCNGUCUUGAAACACGGACCAAGGAGUCUAACAUGCCUGCGAGUAUUUGGGUGGAAAACCCGAGUGCGUAAUGAAAGUGAAAGUUGAGAUCCCUGUCAUGGGGAGCAUCGACGCCCGGACCAGACCUUUUGUGACGGAUCUGCGGUAGAGCAUGUAUGUUGGGACCCGAAAGAUGGUGAACUAUGCCUGAAUAGGGUGAAGCCAGAGGAAACUCUGGUGGAGGCUCGUAGCGAUUCUGACGUGCAAAUCGAUCGUCAAAUUUGGGUAUAGGGGCGAAAGACUAAUCGAACCA